CUCCGACGCCGCUCCGCUGCGGCGUCUUUCCCGGGCGCUUCGCUUCGCCUUGAUCCGGAUUCCCGGGCACCUCCCGCGGUUUGUGGAUCCAGCCACGGAGGGGGCUCGAUGUCCGGAGCCCAUCAGCUGGAGCGCAGCGCUUUUCCCUCGGGCGGCGGAGCAGCAUGCGUGCAGGGGCGACGGUAUUGCUGGCCCUUCUGUGUCUAGCGGUGCAGUCGGUGGAAGGGG